UCGACUUCUAUGCCUUAUUAUC
rnacentral:siRNA from 1 species